AGAGUUUGAUCCUGGCUCAGAAUGAACGCUGGCGGCGUGCUUAACACAUGCAAGUCGAACGGUAACAGCAGAGCUUGCUCUGGCUGACGAGUGGCGCACGGGUGAGUAAUAGAUAGAUAAUGUACCCCUUAGUCUGGGAUAGCCACUGGAAACGGUGAUUAAUACUGGAUACGCCUUUUUAGCGUAAGCUAAUUUGGGAAAGGUCUUUCGCUAAGGGAUCAGUCUAUCUCCCAUCAGUUAGUUGGUGAGGUAAGAGCUCACCAAGACGAUGACGGGUAGCGGGUUUGAGAGGAUGAUCCGCCACACUGGAACUGAGACACGGUCCAGACUCCUACGGGAGGCAGCAGUGAGGAAUAUUGCACAAUGGGGGAAACCCUGAUGCAGCAACGCCGCGUGGAGGAUGACGCAUUUCGGUGUGUAAACUCCUUUUAUUAAGGAAGAAAUUUGACGGUACUUAAUGAAUAAGCUCCGGCUAACUCCGUGCCAGCAGCCGCGGUAAUACGGAGGGAGCAAGCGUUAUUCGGAAUCACUGGGCGUAAAGGACGCGUAGGCGGGUUAGUAAGUCAGGUGUGAAAUCCUACAGCUCAACUGUAGAACUGCACUUGAAACUACUGACCUAGAGUAUGGAGGGGCAGAUGGAAUUAGUGGUGUAGGGGUAAAAUCCGUAGAUAUCACUAGGAAUACCGAAAGCGAAGGCGAUCUGCUGGGACAUUACUGACGCUGAGGCGUGAAAGCGUGGGGAGCAAACAGGAUUAGAUACCCUGGUAGUCCACGCCCUAAACGAUGAACACUAGUCGUCGGGGUACAAGUUACUUCGGUGAUGCACUUAACAGAUUAAGUGUUCCGCCUGGGGAGUACGGUCGCAAGAUUAAAACUCAGAGGAAUAGACGGGGACCCGCACAAGUGGUGGAGCAUGUGGUUUAAUUCGAAGAUACGCGAAGAACCUUACCUAGCCUUGACAUUGAUAGGAUCUGCUAGAGAUAGCGGAGUGCCAGUUUACUGGAGCUUGAAAACAGGUGCUGCACGGCUGUCGUCAGCUCGUGUCGUGAGAUGUUGGGUUAAGUCCCGUAACGAGCGCAACCCUUGUCCCUAGUUGCCAGCGGUUCGGCCGGGAACUCUAGGGAGACUGCCGGUGACAAACCGGAGGAAGGUGGGGAUGACGUCAAGUCAUCAUGGCCCUUAUGGGUAGGGCUACACACGUGCUACAAUGGCCGGUACAGAGGGUUGCCAACCCGCGAGGGGGAGCUAAUCUCACAAAGCCGGUCGUAGUCCGGAUCGGAGUCUGCAACUCGACUCCGUGAAGUCGGAAUCGCUAGUAAUCGCGAAUCAGAAUGUCGCGGUGAAUACGUUCCCGGGCCUUGUACACACCGCCCGUCACACCAUGGGAGUGGGUUGCAAAAGAAGUGGGUUGUCUAACCUUCGGGAGGAUGCUCACCACUUUGUGAUUCAUGACUGGGGUGAAGUCGUAACAAGGUAACCA
rnacentral:rRNA from 1 species